rnacentral:lncRNA from 1 species
CAUAGUGGCAGCAGUAAACAGAGAGGAACUAAGCAUCUCUGGACAAACAGAGUACUAGAAAACAAAGUAAGUCUGUAUUCAAAAUAGCAGGUCUUCUCAUCAGGUUCAUCGGCCAUUCCAUUCCAUGUUCAUCCUCGAGAGAUUUUUCAUCUGGGCCCAUAGUUGCAACUUGUAAUCUCCUUCUGAGUAGCGGUGCACCUUGCUACUCCCGUCCAUUACACUGAAGCCCCGAGAUCAAUGCACUCAUGUUCCAUUCGCAGCGGAGAAAUGUUGAUAUCCCUCUCAUAUUCACCUUGCGCCACGUCAGUGGCCACAAGCCAGCAGAGAACUUGGAGAGCUGAACGUGAUGGCCAAUUGCAGCAUAACAAUAUAUGCAGCUCCAUUGGUAGCAGCUUCUUGUGGGGUGAAGUACAUUGCAUUUUCCACGAGUUCUCCCCAGCUGAAAUGCAAUUACAGAGCAUGCAUUAGUUAUAUUUCAUGGGGAAUUUUAUUAUGUGUUCACAAGUUCAAAACAACAAACAAAUUUCAAGUAUAUAUGAAAAAAAUGAAACUUGAUAACUAGAAAUAAAUAAAUAACUGACCAGCAUGAACACUUCACGGUUCACGUUCAGAGGCACUUUGACUGUCGAGGCACCGCAAACUAGCUCUCUCCUGGGUCGGAAAUGAAAUUCAAGCUUCAGAUUCACUCGAGAUGAUUCCUUGGCGGCAGAAGAUGUAAGGACGUUUGUUCACUCCAGGUAAAGGAUCUGUCUGCAACAAAGUGGAUUAUUAUAAAUGGUUAACGUAAAAUCGAAUCAGAAGACCACGACAAAGUUUACAGUAUAAGAUAGUCCUUACAUGUCCAGCAGAUAAGUGGAAAUGGAUGGGCGUAUCAUCACCAGCAACAAGUGCAAACGAGCAACACCUCCUGUAUAAAGAGACAAACAUCGUCAGAAACCCAAACUGAAUCAACUAAUCAAAGCAUUCAACCAUGGUGUCCCAGUUAUGGUGCCUGGCGACCUGAGCCGCUGAGCGUAAGGCAGUACAGGCCAGCAUGUAGCGGGGGUCGAUCGAGAUGAGCGAAGAACCGAAGAAUGGAACGGAGAAGAGAUAUCUACUACAGCUAGACACUCGUCCUCAACACAGAUCAUCUUUGC